UGUUUCCCAAACUGUUACAUUUACAUUUGAGUAAUUUAGCAGAUGCUCUUAUUUAGAGUGACUUCUAGUCAGUGCAUUCAUCUUAAAAUGGCUAGGUCCCGUGUGGAAAUGUAUCCCCUCACUACUGUAUGUUGCUCUGGUUUAGAGUGUCUCGAAAGGACAAAUGUAAGUGUAGGUGGGACAACCACAUAUCACAGUCACCAAGGACAGAGAGACUGGUAACAAGUAGCUAUCACCAAGGACAGAGAGAAAGGUAACAAGAAGCUAUCACCAAGGUCAGAGAGACUGGUAACAAGUAGCUAUCACCAAGGACAGAGAGACUGGUAACAAGUAGCUAUCACCAAGGUCAGAGAGACUGGUAACAAGUAGCUAUCACCAAGGACAGAGAGACUGGUAACAAGUAGCUAUCACCAAGGUCAGAGAAAAAGGUAACAAGUAGCUAUCACCAAGGACAGAGAGAAAGGUAACAAGUAGCUAUCACCAAGGACAGAGAGAAAGGUAACAAGUAGCUAUCACCAAGGACAGAGAGAAAGGUAACAAGUAGCUAUCACCAAGGACAGAGAGAAAGGUAACAAGUAGCUAUCACCAAGGACAGAGAGAAAGGUAACAAGUAGCUAUCACCAAGGACAGAGAUAAAGGUAACAAGUAGCUAUCACCAAGAACAGAGAGACUGGUAACAAGUAGCUAUCACCAAUGACAGAGAGACUGGUAACAAGUAGCUAUCACCAAGGACAGAGAGACUGGUAACAAGUAGCUAUCACCAAGGACAGAGAGACUGGUAACAAGUAGCUAUCACCAAGGACAGAGAGACUGGUAACAAGUAGCUAUCACCAAGGACAGAGAGACUGGUAACAAGUAGCUAUCACCAAGGACAGAGAGACUGGUAACAAGUAGCUAUCACCAAGGACAGAGAGACUGGUAACAAGUAGCUAUCACCAAUGACAGAGAGACUGGUAACAAGUAGCUAUCACCAAGGACAGAGAGACUGGUAACAAGUAGCUAUCACCAAGGACAGAGAGACUGGUAACAAGUAGCUAUCACCAAGGACAGAGAGACUGGUAACAAGUAGCUAUCACCAAGGACAGAGAGACUGGUAACAAGUAGCUAUCACCAAGGACAGAGAG